CCAAUAGCGUAUAUUAAAGUUGUUGCAGUUAAAAAGCUCGUAGUUGAAUUUCGGGGUCAGUAGGCUGGUCGUGCCACGGGUAUGCACUGGUCUCACUGAUUCCUCCUUCCUGAUGAACCGUAAUGCCAUUAAUUUGGUGUUGCGGGGAAUCUGGACUGUUACUUUGAAAAAAUUAGAGUGUUUAAAGCAGGCUAACGCUUGAAUACAUUAGCAUGGAAUAAUGAAAUAGGACGAUCGAUCCUAUUUUGUUGGUUUCUAGGAUUGACGUAAUGUUUAAUAGGGAUAGUUGGGGGCAUUAGUAUUCAAUUGUCAGAGGUGAAAUUCUUGGAUUUAUUGAAGACUAACUACUGUGAAAGCAUUUGCCAAGGAUGUUUUCAUUAAUCAAGAACGAAAGUUAGGGGAUCGAAGACGAUCAGAUACCGUCGUAGCCUUAACCAUAAACUAUGCCGACUAGGGAUCGGAUGAUGUUAAUUUUUUAAUGACUCAUUCGGCGCCUUACG
rnacentral:rRNA from 1 species